rnacentral:rRNA from 1 species
AACGAACGCUGGCGGCAGGCUUAACACAUGCAAGUCGAGCGCCCCGCAAGGGGAGCGGCAGACGGGUGAGUAACGCGUGGGAAUCUACCCUUUUCUACGGAAUAACGCAUGGAAACGUGUGCUAAUACCGUAUGAGCCCUUCGGGGGGAAAGAUUUUAUCGGGAAAGGAUGAGCCCGCGUUGGAUUAGCUAGUUGGUGGG